GCAGUUUAACAAAUGUUUUAGUUUAUACAUAGUUUACUUAUAUUAACACAUCAAGGGCAUCAUUGGGUUUUUACGCUGAUUUUUGUUUUCUGAAAGUAUUAUUGGAAAUCAGUCUGUUCAUUGUGCACGAUACUAGCCGCUUUGAAGUAAUUUGUAAAAAGUUGGCUAACGGCUCUGUAAAUCUUCAAACUCUAAACCGGA
rnacentral:lncRNA from 1 species